rnacentral:rRNA from 2 species
AGAGUUUGAUCAUGGCUCAGAACGUACGCUGGCGGCACGCCUAACACAUGCAAGUCGAACGAAGUAGCAAUACUUAGUGGCAGACGGGUGAGUAACAUGUAGGUAUCUGCCCUUUGGCCUGGAAUAACACGAGGAAACUUGUGCUAAUACCGGAUAAGUCUUUACGGAGAAUGCUUUAUGCACCAUUGGAUGAGCCUGCACUUGAUUAGUUUGUUGGUGGGGUAAUGGCCUACCAAGACUGUGAUCAAUAGCUGAUUUGAGAGGAUGAUCAGCCACAUUGGGACUGAGACACGGCCCAAACUCCUACGGGAGGCAGCAGUGGGGAAUCUUGCACAAUGGAGGAAACUCUGAUGCAGCGAUGCCGCGUGAGUGAAGAAGGCCCUUGGGUUGUAAAGCUCUUUCGUCGGGGAAGAAAAUGACUGUACCCGAAUAAGAAGGUCCGGCUAACUUCGUGCCAGCAGCCGCGGUAAUACGAAGGGACCUAGCGUAGUUCGGAAUUACUGGGCUUAAAGAGUUCGUAGGUGGUUGAAAAAGUUGGUGGUGAAAUCCCAGAGCUUAACUCUGGAACUGCCAUCAAAACUUUUCAGCUAGAGUAUGAUAGAGGAAAGCAGAAUUUCUAGUGUAGAGGUGAAAUUCGUAGAUAUUAGAAAGAAUACCAAUUGCGAAGGCAGCUUUCUGGAUCAUUACUGACACUGAGGAACGAAAGCAUGGGUAGCGAAGAGGAUUAGAUACCCUCGUAGUCCAUGCCGUAAACGAUGUGUGUUAGACGUUGGAAAUUUAUUUUCAGUGUCGCAGCGAAAGCGAUAAACACACCGCCUGGGGAGUACGACCGCAAGGUUAAAACUCAAAUGAAUUGACGGGGACCCGCACAAGUAGUGGAGCAUGUGGUUUAAUUCGAAGAUACGCGCAGAACCUUACCAACACUUGACAUGUUCGUCGCGACUUUAAGAGAUUAAAGUUUUCGGUUCGGCCGGACGAAACACAGGUGCUGCAUGGCUGUCGUCAGCUCGUGUCGUGAGAUGUUGGGUUAAGUCCCGCAACGAGCGCAACCCUCACUUUUAGUUGCCAUCAUUAAGUUGGGCACUCUGAAAGAACUGCCAGUGAUAAGCUGGAGGAAGGUGGGGAUGACGUCAAGUCCUCAUGGCCCUUACGUGUUGGGCUACACACGUGCUACAAUGGUAUCUACAACAGGAAGCAAAACUGCGAAGUUAAGCAAAUCCUUAAAAGAUACCUCAGUUCGGAUUGCACUCUGCAACUCGAGUGCAUGAAGCUGGAAUUACUAGUAAUCGUGGAUCAGCGUGCCACGGUGAAUGCGUUCCCGG